GCCGGAGUAGCUCAGUUGGUAGAGCACGUCUUUCGUAAAGACGGGGUCGUCGGUUCAAUCCCGACCUCCGGCUCCA
rnacentral:tRNA from 1 species